rnacentral:rRNA from 1 species
AUUGAACGCUGGCGGAAUGCUUUACACAUGCAAGUCGAGCGGCAGCGCGGCCUUCGGGCUGGCGGCGAGCGGCGAACGGGUGAGUAAUGCAUCGGAACAUGCCCAGUCGUGGGGGAUAACACUUCGAAAGAAGUGCUAAUACCGCAUACGUCCUGAGGGGGAAAGCGGGGGAUCGCAAGACCUCGCGCGAUUGGAGUGGCCGAUGUCAGAUUAGCUAGUUGGUGGGGUAAAGGCCUACCAAGGCGACGAUCUGUAGCUGGUCUGAGAGGAUGAUCAGCCACACUGGGACUGAGACACGGCCCAGACUCCUACGGGAGGCAGCAGUGGGGAAUUUUGGACAAUGGGGGCAACCCUGAUCCAGCCAUUCCGCGUGAGUGAAGAAGGCCUUCGGGUUGUAAAGCUCUUUCGGCAGGAACGAAACGGUGGGCUCUAACAUAGUCCGCUAAUGACGGUACCUGAAGAAGAAGCACCGGCUAACUACG